UAUCUUUAUUAAAGCCAAACAUUUCUUCUCUCUCUUAAUUCUAAAAAAAAAACGCACGCUGCAUCUCCCUCCUUCUCACAACAGCGCUCGGCUCUCUGUCUCUCAAUCAAGAAAGGAAUCGCUGCUCACAUCUCUCUCUAUCUCGCUCGAUCUCCUCCGGCCGCUGUUGCUCUGCUCUGGGCCGCGACCAGCGGCGCUUGGCCUUCGGCCGCGCCGCCCCGCUCAGCCGCCUCCCUUCUGAAGCUGUUGCCGCUCCGCCUGAAGUCGACGAGUCAGCCGUCGCCGAGUCUCCCCUUUGCGGCAGAUCCGCCGCCGCGGUUCCCUUUCCGGCGAAACCGGCAUCAAGUCGUUGGAGUACCGGCGAGGCCGCAACCGGCCACUGGCGCUGCUCCCUUCGUCUCUGACUUCCUCUCUUUUUCCAUCCUUUCCUCUCUAUCUCUGAUCGUGCUCUCUCCUCUCAAAUUGCAUGACCUCAGCCGUGCAUCCUCCUCGACAGGCUCUGCCAUGGCCGAGUCCGGUGAGGUUGGCGUUGGCAUCAGACCUUGCCCAAAACUCUCAUCUUCCGUGUUUCUUCUCUGAAAUUUCAACUCCAGAUUAUACCCCCAAUCGAACCCUAAUUCUUUCAUCAUGGACUACCACCGCUGCUGUCCUCUUUGGUGUAGACGGGCUCGAUGCCUCAUCGCGCCGUUGUUGUUAUAGUCAGAUUCCAGCGAGGCAGCAAGGGAUCGCCGCCGUCAUUCCCUCGGCUCGACUGAACAGGGAAAAGAGUAUGACCUUAGCAGAGUUAAAGAAAAGGGGCUGCUAUGUGUGUACUAUCUAUAUUUUAUUUCUUGAUUUUGUAUACUCUAUUGAUAGUGUAGGAGCGUAGGGAGUGUGAAAGAAAAAUGAUGAUUGUAAGUAAAUAGAAUUGAGGUGACUAAUAAAAAUCUCUUGCCUUGAUUAAUUAAUCAA